GGGGGUGCCUGGUUUCGACGGGUAAGCUAAACUGUCGAUUGCAUGUCGAGGAUUUCAAGUCACCUCGUUAAUCACCUUGGAACAAACCUUAAAUGCCGAUUAUGGCUACGCUGCUGCCGCUUAAAUAGUUCGGCAGCCAUUCUCUUUAGAAUUUGUCUGUGAUUUUAUAUGGGAAUGUUAUCUUUAGCAGACUAAUUUAAUUCUGUGUCUGUCAGAAUUAAAUGAUACUUCUCAGACUGGUUAAUUUGGCGGGUGGCGAAACCCAAAAAAUUAAUAAGAAAAAAAGAUUCGCCUAAACAUGUAGAAGUUGAUAGAGUACCUUAUUCGGACGGGAGUUCGAAUCUCCCCACCUCCACUA
rnacentral:tmRNA from 1 species